rnacentral:rRNA from 1 species
UACGUAGGGUGCGAGCGUUGCCCGGAUUUAUUGGGCGUAAAGGGCGCGUAGGCGGCCACGCACGUCCGUUGUGAAAUCGCUCGGCUCAACUGGGCGGGGUCAGCGGAUACGGUGUGGCUAGAGCAAGCUAGGGGGCAAUGGAAUUCCCGGUGUAGUGGUGGAAUGCGUAGAUAUCGGGAGGAACACCAGUGGCGAAGGCGGCUGCCUGGGGCUUUGCUGACGCUGAUGCGCGAAAGCGUGGGGAGCGAUCCGG